GACGAACCGAGCGAACGUUGUUCGGAAUCACUGGGCUUAAAGGGCGCGUAGGCGGGCUGUCAAGUCUGGGGUGAAAUCCCACGGCUCAACCGUGGAACUGCCUUAGAUACUGACGGCCUCGAGGGAGAUAGGGGCGGGCGGAACUCUGGGUGGAGCGGUGAAAUGCGUUGAUAUCCAGAGGAACUCCGGUGGCGAGGCGGCCCGCUGGACCUGAUCUGACGCUGAGGCGCGAAAGCCAGGGGAGCCGGAACGGG
rnacentral:rRNA from 1 species